rnacentral:lncRNA from 1 species
CACCGAGCCAUUUUUUAUUUCUAGGAAAACACAUCUUGGAUUUGUGUUUAGGAAAACUGUGACAGUACCUGCUGGAGUUCACCGAUCUCAUGGCGUAAAUAAUCCUCUCUUCUGGCAGCCGCUUGCUCUGCACGUUGCAGUGCCAGCCUGAGGUCUCCCACCUGUAUGAGAACCCGUACACACUAGCACAGACGGUAACAAAACAUUACCCGCAACUUCCUACCUGCAUACUGUGUUGUGCGCACUUGCUGUUUAUGUAGAAUACUUCUACUAUCCAAAGAGCUUUUUCACAUGAUAGCACACAUCCCAUUCAUCAAGCAAUUCUAAACUGUAUAUGUACCCAAUAUAUACUCAGAAAACCACUGUUAGGCCAAAAAAAAAGUAUAUAAAUAGGUACAAGGCACAGCCACUGUACAAUACAGAAGGAGAGACAAUGCAUCUAAAAAUAUUCGCAAUGUAAAGCAGAAUGUGAUAGCUAUAAAAGCAAGCUGCUAUUCCUAAUACACAACAGCAGAUGUAAACUGCUACAGUGUUUCUGUAAAACAUUAUGAAGACAUGUUUAAAGGAUCAUAAAAUUUUUCACCUUUUUCACUUGGUCAUCCUAGUCUUGAGAAUUGACUCAACAAAAGCAGAUAUAAAUAUAAAAGAUACUCCCCACUUUGCUGUUAGCUAGACUAGCAAAAAUAGACAAAACAGGAAAUAUUCCACAUAUCCACCAGUAAUCUAUUUUUGCAAAGUUUGAUACAUGAAUAUAAUAUUCCCAUUAAAAAUUAUGAUGAAUGUGGGCGCCGGGGUGGUUCAGUCAGUUAAGCAUCCGACUCUUGAUUCUGGCCCAGGUCAUGAUCUCACAGUUCCAUGAGACUGAGCUUGUGUCAGGCUCUGAGCUGACAGCAUACAUUCUCUCUCCCUCUCUGCCUCUUUCCCACAUACGUGUGUGGGCAUACUCUCUCUCUCUCUCAAAAUAAAUAAACUUAAAAAAAAUUAUGAUGAAUGUGAAGAAUAUGUAAAAAUUUGUAAUUAAAUCUUAAAUGAAACAACUAAUAUAUAUGGUAUCAAUUACUUAAAAAUACAUAGAAAGGUAAGAAGUUAAUACACAAAACUGACGUUACUUAUAAAAGGUGAUAAUUUUAUAAAUAGUACCACCAUAUGCUCUCUGUCUCCCAUUCCCCUACUUUUUGUUAUUAUGCUAGUGUAUAUGCAGAGAUAUAUAGGUAAAUUUAUAGACCUGUAUAUUUUCUUUCAUUUACAAACAGAAACACUGAAAAAACAAACCAAACACUAGUAAAAUGGCUACUUAUAGGCAAAGAAAGGGGACGGGGAGGAGCUAAGUUGGAAGCAAAUGUUGUCUCGAUAUACGGUUAUAUAGUUCUCACUUUGGAAUCAUGUAAAUGUUCUACAUAUUUAUGUAAAAUUAAAUCAAAAUUGCACUGCGCUCAAUGAGGAAAGAAUGAUCUUUUCAAUAAAUGGUCCUGUGACAGCUGGACAUCCAUGUGCAAAAAACCUAAAUGCAAGAGCUAAAACUAUAAAAUUCUUAGAAGGAAACAGGUGAACACCUGCAUGACCUUGGACUAAGCAAUGGUGUCUUAAAUACGAUGCCUGAAGCACAGGCAACAAAAGAAAAAAUAAAGAAGAUGGACUUCACCAAAAUUAAAAAAACCUAUACAUCAAAGGACACUACUGAGAAAAUGAAAGACAACCUAUAAAAUGGGAAAAAAUAUUUGCAAAUCCUACCUUUGAUAAAGACCUAAUAUGCAUAACACAUAAACAACUCUCACAACUCAACAAUUUAAAAAUGAGCAAAGAAUAUGAGUGUUUGAAUAAAUUUCUCCAAAGAAGAUGCAAAAAUAUAUAUAUGGCCAGUAAGCACAUAAAAAGAUGCUCAACAUCAUUAGUCAUUAAGGAAAUAUAAACAAAUACACCACAAUCAGAUACCAUUUCAUACCCACUAAAAAGGCUAUUAAAAAAAAAAAAGAAGGGGCACCUGGAUGGCUCAGUCGGUUAAGCGGCCGACUUCGGCUCAGGUCAUAAUCUCGCGGUCCGUGAGUUCGAGCCCCGCGUCGGGCUCUGUGCUGACAGCUCAGAGCCUGGAGCCUGUUUCAGAUUCUGUGUCUCCCUCUCUCUGACCCUCCCCCGUUCAUGCUCUGUCUCUCUCUGUCUCAAAAAUAAACGUUAAAAAAAAAAUUAUCUUUUAAAAUAAAAAAAAAAAAAGAAGGUAACAAAUACUGGCAAAAGAUAGAAACUAAAACCCUCACAUAUUGCUGAUGAGAAUGUAAAAUGGUGUAGGUGUUGUGGAAAGUCUGGCAGCUCUUCACAAAGUUAUAUAUAGGAUUACCAAACUAACCUAAGGAUAUAUGUCAAAGAGAAUUUUUUUUAAUAAUUUUUUUUAAUGUUUAUUUAUUUUUGAGAAAGAGAGCACAGGGAAUGAAGCCAUCAGAGACAGAGGGAGACACAGAAUCCAAAGCAGGCUUCAGGCUCUGAGCUGUCAGCACAGAGCCCGACACGGGCCUUAAACCCACGAACUGCAAGAUCAUGACCUGAGCCAAAGUCGGACACUUAACCGAAUGAGCCACCCAGGUGCCCUAUGUCUAAGAGAAUUUAAAAUAGAUGUUUACACAAAAAUGUGUACAUGAAUGUUUGUAGUAGUAUUAUUUGUAAUAACCAAAAGUGAAAAUAACCCAAGUAUCCAUCAACUGAUGAUUUUGUAAGACAAAGCCUGACAAAUUUUGGUUUUCCUCCCUUAUCUGAACUGUAUGGACUCCCCCAGUUGUUAUGAAUAAGCUCAGGAGUUAUAUGGAUUCUCCUAAAAUUAUACACAAUGUCUAGUAUUUAUCUGCAUAGGUGCAGUAACACAGUCUGCCUUUCACAAUAUUCUGUAGUAAGUCUGAAAUUCACCAAAAAUAAGCAGUACUAGAAUAAUGUAGGUAUCACUUUAACAAUGGUUUAAAAAAACAUACAAUGUUAAAAAAAAAAUUAAAAAAAAAAAAGGGGGGGGCGCCUGGGUGGCUGUCGGUUAAGCGGCCGACUUCGGCUCAGGUCAUGAUCUCACGGUCCGUGGGUUCAAGCCCCAAGUCCAGCUCUGUGCUGACAGCUCAGAGCCCGGAGCCUGUUUCAGAUUCUGUGUCUCCCUCUUUCUCUGACCCUCCCCUGUUCAUGCUCUCUGUCUCAAAAAUAAAUAAAUGUUAAAAAAAAAAAAUUUUAGGGGCGCCUGGGUGGCGCAGUCGGUUAAGCGUCCGACUUCAGCCAGGUCACGAUCUCGCGGUCCGUGAGUUCGAGCCCCGCGUCAGGCUCUGGGCUGAUGGCUCAGAGCCUGGAGCCUGUUUCCGAUUCUGUGUCUCCCUCUCUCUCUGCCCCUCCCCCGUUCAUGCUCUGUCUCUCUCUGUCCCAAAAAUAAAUAAACGUUGAAAAAAAAAAAAAAUUUUUAAAAAAAUAAAUAAAUAAAAUUUAAAAAAAAAAACCAAAAACCACAAGACUGGCACAAUACAGUAGUCUUAGAAAAAAGUGUCCAACAAGAUUAGAAACAAAAUAUAACACCUGUACCACUACAUAAAGUUUGACUCAAACCAGCUAAUGUAUUCUUUAAUUUGUAAAAGCACAAAGUUUUUAAAGACUAAUUUAAUUAUUAUCUCUUGCUUACUUGAAUCGCUAACGUUUCUUGCUGCUGACGGGCUUCUUCUUGGGCCUUCUCUAGUGCUGCAGAAAGUUCUUCUUUGGCUUUCAUUUCACGACUCAGAGCAGCUUCCUGUGCCUCGCUAUCUUUUGCAGCAUUGGCUUUGUGGAGAUCAGUAAGUUCUCUUAAAAAAUUGGAUUGAUAAUUUUUAUUUAAAAUAGUUAAUUACAUGACCAAGUUAAGGAAGUUUGCAUAUAGAUUUCCCUAGGAGCUACACAAUAAGGGAGAGUUCACCCCAUAAUAAACACUGACCACAGUAAGGACUCUCUGUUGAACUUGCUCUGACCAACUACAAGUCCAUAUAUAGCCAAGUUUAUAAAUAUUGUUAGUGAUCAAAUAACAGAAGAAGUAUUUCUUCAACAUCCUGUUCUGAUAAUUGAUUUUAAAUGAGUUGUAUAUUUGUUCAUUUUCUUACUUGUAUGCACUAUCCAGAGCAGCUUGAAUACUUCGGUUCUUUUCUUCAAGUUCAUCCACGUCUACCUGAAGUCGGCCAAGAUCCUUCUCUUGGCGUUCUACCACAGAAUUUAGUUUUUUAAUGUUUUCUCUAUGUUGUUUCUCAACCUCUUCUUUGCCAUCAAGGACCUAUAAAACAGACAAAAGUAUUUUUCAAUUAAUAACACCAUGGUAAAUAAUUGUAUUCCAGGAAUCUUGAGUGUUACAGUAAUGAAGAAAAAUCUUAACUAUCAUCUAUUAAAUUGCUUGACAAAUUCUUCCCAUGAUAUAUCCCAAUAAAUUAUUCUAAAUGUUUUAUAAACCAUGGCUAAUUGUUCAUACAGGAAGUAAUAACAAUAUAUAUAUUUAGAUAAUAGUUAAUAUUCACCUGUUUUAAAUGUUGCAACUCUUCUUCUAGCUCUUUAACUUUUUUGUUCAGUUUUGCAAUAAUAUUUUCAUUUUCUUUGUCUUUAGCUCUUAAUUUCUUAAUAAUGUUAGAAUUAUGCAGCUGCUGUUUUGAAAGUUUUUCUCCUAGCAAUGGCAAAAAAAAAAAAAAUUUUUCAAAUAAGAUUCCUUAAGAAUCUGGAUAGUGUGCUGGAUCUAACCACUGACAUAAAAUGAUAGAGUAUUUUUAAAAUCACAAUAUUAUAACCAUGAACAUUAAAUUGAUUGGGACAACCAUCAAUAAAUGCUAAAAUUACUAGAUGGAAGGGUGAUAGGUAACAGAAUAUUCUUAGCCUUAAGAAAUCAUUCCCACAGGCAAACCAUAAGAGACUCUUACAUAACAGAGAACAAACUGAGGGUUGCUAGCAGGGAGGUAAAUGGGGGGAAGGGCUAAAUGGGUGAUGGGCAUUAAGGACGGCACUUGGGAUGAGCACUGGGUGUUAUAUGUAAGUAAUGAAUCACUGGGUUCUACUCCUGAAACCAAUACUACAAUGUAUGUUAACUAACUUGAAUUUAAAUAAAUAAUUUUUUUAAAAUUCAUUCCCACAUAUUGCUUACGAAUUACAAAUGGAAAAAUCUACUUGUAAUACAAUGGAGAAAUCUGGCUAUUACCAAUCUUAACCAUUUAGUUAGUCACCAGUGAUCUUUCUUACCAGAAAUUUUAUCUGAAUCUAAUCAUGAGAAGGACAAAUUCCUGAACAUGGGGCGUACUAUAGGAAAACUGGCCUGGAUUCUACAAAGUCUUUAAAGUCAUGAAGAGAGACCUAUCGCUAGACUGAUGAAAGACCAAAAAGACAUAAUGGCCAAAUACAAUACACAAACUUUGACUGGAUCUUGGGGCAGGACAAAUAUCAGGUAUAAAAGUCCUUUUUAGAGACAAUGGGAUGAUGAAAUAUAUGUUGGAGUAUACUUCUGAAUAAAUACUGAUUUUCUUAGGUAUGGUUAUGAUGUUGUGCUUGUGAAGCAAAAUGUACUUGCUACUGGGAAAUGGAGCCUCAUGAAUUUAGGAGCGGACUACAUAUUCAAUGCAAUAUCUAACAAAAGUCCAAUGGCAAAUUUCACAAAGUUUUUUAAAAAUCCUAAAAUUCAUAUGGGACCACAGAAGACCUCAAAUAGCCAAAGGAAUCCUGAGCAAGAACAAAGCUGAAAGUAUCAUAUUUCCUCAUUUUAAGACAUGACACAAAGCUAGAGUUAUCAAAACAGUAUGGUACUAGCAUAAAAACAGUAGACCAGGGGCGCCUGGGUGGCUCGGUCAGUUAAGCAUCCGACUUCGGCUCAGGUCAUGAUCUCACGGUCCGUGAGUUCAAGCCCUGCAUCGGGCUCUGUGCUGACAGCUCAGAGCCUGGAGCCCGUUUUGGAUUCUGUGUCUCCCUCUCUCUCUCUGCCCCUCCCCUGUUCAUGCUCUCUGUCUCAAAAAUAAAUAAACGUUAAAAGAAAGAAAAAAAAAAAAACAAAAACAUAGUAGACCAGCAGAGCAAAACAGCCUAGAAAAUCCACACAGAAUUCAGAAAUACAUUUACAGCCAAGUAAUCUUCAAAAAAGAGACCAAGAACACACUAUGGGGAAAGGGAAGUCUCAUCAAUAAAUUAUACCAGGAAAACUGAAUAAUCAUAGGCAGAAUGAAAUAGGACCACACACCAAAUACAAAAGUCAACUCAAAAUAAACAAUAUACCUGAAAGUGUAAAAUUACUAGGAAAAAAAAAUAGGGAAAAAAAAACUUCUGACAUUGGUAUUGGCAAUGAUUUUUUGGGUAUGGAUUCCAAAAGCAUAGACUACAAAAGCAAAAAUAGACAACUGGGAUUACAUCAAACUAAAAACUACUGCAUAGCAAAGGAAACAAAUCAACAGACUGAAGAGAUAAUCUGCAGAAUGGAGGAAAAUAUUUGCAAGCCAUGUAUCUGAUAAGGGAUUAAUAUCCAAAAUAAACAAAGAACUCCAAUAACUCAACAGCAAAAAAUAAGGCAAUUAAGAAAUGGGUAAAAGAUGUGAGGGGCUCCUGGGUGGCUCAGUCGGUUAAGUGUCUAGCUUCAGCUCAGGUCAUGAUCUCAUGGUUGGUGAGUUCGAGCCCCACUUUGGGUCUGUGCUGACAGCUCAGAGCCUGGAGCAUGCUUUGGAUUCUGUGUCUCCUUCUCUCUCUCUGCCCCUCCCCCACUCACUAUCUCUCACAAAUGAAUAAACAUUAAAAAAAAUUUCUUUUUAAAAAAAAAGAUGUGAAUAGACUUUCUCAAAAGAAGACAAAGAAUGGCCAAUAAGUAUACAAAAAGGUACUCAAUAUCACUCAUCAUCAGAAAAAUGCAUAUCAAAACUAUAUGAGAUAUCACCUCACAACUGUCAGGAUACCUAUUAUCAACAAGACAAAAGAUAAGAAUUGGGAAGGAUGUCGGGGCGCCUGGGUGGCGCAGUUGGUUAAGCGUCCGACUUCAGCCAGGUCACGAUCUCGCGGUCCGUGAGUUCGAGCCCCGCGUCAGGCUCUGGGCUGAUGGCUCAGAGCCUGGAGCCUGUUUCCGAUUCUGUGUCUCCCUCUCUCUCUGCCCCUCCCCAAUUCAUGCUCUGUCUCUCUCUGUCCCAAAAAAUAAAUAAAAAACGUUGAAAAAAAAAUUAAAAAAAAAAAAAAAGAAUUGGGAAGGAUGUAGUGAAAAGGGAACCUUGGUAUAUACUAUUGGCAUAAGUGUAAACUGGUACAGCCAUUAUGGAAAACAGCAUGGAGAUUCCCAAAAAAUUAAAGAUAGAAUUACUAUAUGAUCCAACAGUCCCACUUCUAGGUAUACAUCCAAAGGAAAUAAAAUCAGUACCUCAGAGACAUGUGCAUUUCCAUGGGUACUGCAGCAUUAUUCACAAAAGUCAAGUUAUGCAAAUAACCUAAGUGUCCAUCAAUGGAUAAAUGGAUAAAGAAAAUGUGGUGUGCACCAAAAUGCAAAGAAUUUUAAGAGAAUACUAUGAUGAUUAUAUAUGUGAACUGGACAACCUAGAAAAAAAAUGGAUAAAUUCCUAGAAACAAUCUCCCAGAACUAAAUCAGAAAGAACAAGAAAAUUUGAACAGAUCGAUUACUAGUAACAAAAUUGAAUCAGUAAUCAAGACUCCUCAUCUCAAACAAAAGCCCAGGACCAGAUGGCUUCACAGGUGAAUUCUACCAUUUAAAGAAGAGUUAAUACCUAUUCUUCUCAAACUGGUCCACAAAUAGAAAAAAACUUUUUCAAAUUUAUCCUAUAAGACUAGUAUUGCCCUGACACCAAAACCAAAGACCCUUUAAAAAAAGAAAGACAACGAGAGGCCAAUAUCCCUGGUAAACACAGGUGUAAAAAUACUCAACAAAAUAUUAGCAAACUGAAUUCAACAAUACAUUAAAAGGAUCAUUCACCACGAUCAAGUGAGAUUUAUUCCAAGGACACAAACGUGGUUCAAUAUUUGCAAAUCAAUCAACAUGAAAUAUCACAUUAAUAAAAGGAUAAAAACCAUAAGUCAACUCAAUAGAAGCAGAAAAAGCAUUUUUAUAUAAAAUACUGUAUCUGGGCAUGAUAAAAAUUUCAAAGUGGGCUAGAAGGGAACAUAACGUAAUAAAGGCAACACAGAAAAAAUUCUUAGCUUAACAUCAUAUUUGAUGGUAAAAUACUGCAAGCUUUUCGUCUAAGACCAGGAAGAAGACAAAGAUGUGCACUCUAACCUCUUUAAUAUAAUAUUGUAGUGAAGACCAACUACAGCAAAUGGACAAGAAAAAUAAAUAAAAGGCACCCAAAGUACUAAGGAAGAAGUAAAAUUGUCACUAUUUAGAGAUGAUAUAAUACCAUAGCUAGAAAAGCCUGAAGAUUCCAUCCAAAGAACUAUUAGAAUAAGUGAAUUCAGUAAAACUGCAGGAUACAAAAUAUACAGAAAUCUGUUGCAUUUACAUAUGCUAAUAAUAAAAUAGUAGGAAGUACAAUUAAGAAACAAUCCCAUUUACAAGUGCACCAAUAAAAUAAAAUAAAAAUACUUAGGAAUAAAUUUAACCAAGAAAAUCAAAGACCUAUACUCUGAUACUAAUGAAAAAAAUUGAAAACAACACAAAUGGAGAGAUAUACCAUGCUCAUGAACUGGAAGAAUUAAUAUUGUUAAAAUGUCCAUACUACCCAAAGCAAAUCUACAGAUUCAAUGCAAUCCCUACCAAAAUACCAAGAGCACUUUUCACACAAUUAGAAGCAGUAAGCCUAAAAUUUUCAUGGAAACACAAAGACCCCAAAUAGCCAAAGCAAUCUUGAGAAAGAAAAACAAAGCUUGAAGGUAUCAUAAUCCUAGAUUACAGCUACAGUAAUCAAAAUAGUAGGAUACUGGCACAAAAAAGACACAUAGAUCAAUAAAACAGGAUAGAGAGCCCAGAAAUAAACCCAUACUUAUACAGCCAAAUAACUGAUGACAAAGGAGGCAAGAAUAUAUAAUGGGGAAAAGAUAUUCUUUUCAUUAAGUGGUGUUGGGAAAACUGGACAGCUACAUGAACAAGAAAGAAACCGGACCACUUUCUUACACCAUACACAAAAAUAAAUUCAAAAUGGAUUAAAGACCAAAAUGUGAGAUGUGAAAUUAUAAAACUCUUAAAAGAAAACAUAGGCAGCAGGGCCCCUGGGUGGCUCAGUUGGUUAAGCAUCCGACUUCGGUUAAACAUCCGACUUCAGCUCAAGUCAUGAUCUCAUGGUUCAUGGGUUCGAGUCCCACAUUGGGUUCUGUGCUGACAGCUCAGAGACUGGAGCCUGCUUCGGAUUCUGUGUCUCCUGCUCUCUCUGCCCCUCCCCCGCACGCACACACACACUCCCUACUCUCUCUCUCUCAAAAAUAAACAAACAUUAAAAAAAUUUUUUUUUAAGAAAGAAAACACAGGCAGUAAUCCCCUGAACAUCAGCCUUAGAAUAUAUUUAUGAAUAUGUCUCCUCAGGCAAGAAAAACAAAAGCAAAAAUAAACUAUUGGGACUACAACAAAAUAAAAACCUUUUGUACAGGAAAGGAAACCAUCAACAAAACAAGAAGACAGUCUACUGAAUUGAAGACAUAUUUUAAUUACAUAGCCAAUAAGAGGUGAAUGUCCAAAAUAUAUAAAGAACUCAUACAAUUCAACCCUUCCCCCAAAAGCAAUCUGAUUAAAAAAAUGGAAAAAGGACAUGAAUAAACAUUUUUCCAAAGAAGACAUAUAGAGGGCCAACCGAAACGUAAAAAGGUCACUAACCAUCACUAAUCAUCAUUACUAAUCAUCAGGGAAAUGCAAAUGAAAACCACCAUGAGAUAUUACCUCACACAUCAGAAUGGCUAUUAUCGAAAAGACAAGAAAUUUUAAGUACUAAAAACUCGAGUAACAUGGAGCUUCUCCAAAAAUUUAAAAGCAGAAAUACGAUGUGUUCCAGCAAUCCCCCUACAAGGUAUCUACCCAAAGAAAAAGAAAACACUAAUUCCAAGAAAUAUAAUGCUCUAUGUAUAUUGCAGCAUUAUUUACAACAGCCAAGAUAUGGAAAACAAUCUAAGCAUACAAUGAUAAAUGGACAAAGCAAAUACAGUGUGUGUGGAUAUACACACAUACAUACAAUGGAAUACUACUCAGCCAUAAUAAAGAAUGAGAUCUUGCCGUUUGUGACAACAUAGAUGGACCUAGAAGGUAUUAUGCUAAGUGAAAUAAAUCAGAAAAAGAAAGGGAUAUACCAUAUGAUUUCACUAAUAUGUGGAAUCUAAAACACAAAACAAACAAGAAAAUAAAAACACACUCUUAAAUACAGAAAGAAAAUGGUGGUUGCCAAAGACGACAUGGGGAGAGUGUGAGGGGUGAAAUACGUGAAGAGGAUUAAAAGGUGUAAAUUUCCAGUUAUAAAAUAAGUCACAGGGAUAAAAAUUACAACAUAGUAUAUAUAGUCAAUAAUAUAGUAAUAAUGUUGUAUGGUGACUGUAUUCAUGGUGAGCACUGAAUAAUAUACAGAAUUUUUGAAUCACUAUGCAGCUUGUACCCCUGGAAUAUAACAUUGUAUGCAAUUAUCCUUCAAUAAAAAAUAUUGUAUAUACAAAUGUGUAAUUUAUUUUUGCUAUCUAAAAUUGUGAAUAUUUUCCCAAUUCAUUAAAAAUUCUAAAAAAGAAGGGGUGUCUGGAUGGCUCAGUUGGUUAAACAUCCAACUUCAGCUCUGGUCAUGAUCUCAUGGCUUGUGGGCUCAAGCCCCACAUCGGGUUCUAUGCUGAUAGCUUGGAGCCUGGAGCCUGCUUUAGAUUCUGUGUCUCCCUCUCUCUCUGCUCCUCCCCCACUGUACUCUGUCUCUCUCUCAAAAAUAAAUAAACAUUAAAAAAAUUUAAAAAUUUUUAAAGAAGAAAAAAGUAGCAUGCUAUAUAUUAUUUAGCCUUGAAAAAGGAAAUCCUGCCAUUUGUAAGAACAUGGAUGAACCUGGAGGCUGAAAUAAGUCAGAUUCAGAUACUACAUACAUGAUCUCACUCUGAUGUGGAAUAUAAAAAAGUUGAAUUUAUAGAAGUACAGAGCACAAUGCUAGUUACCAGGGGAAAUAUGGAGAUAAAGGGGACCAAGUUUCAGUUACAGAGGUAAGUUCUUCAGACAUAAUGUAAAAAAUGUAAAAAAAAAAAAAAAAAAAAGUUAAGUACAUGAGGUGAUUGAUAUGUUAAUUAGCUUGACUGUGGUAAACAUUUCACAAUAUAUAUGUUAUCCAAAAAAAAAUCACAUUGUGCACCUUAAAUAUAUACAAUUUUUAUUAGCCAAUUACACCUCAAUAAAACUGAGGAAAAAAAGAAUUUAUGAGUGGACUCAUAUCUGUCACCUACAUUCAAAUGCUUUGGCAAAAGGGAAGUAUAUGUGUGUUGCAGAAAGCUAUGAAUCAGGUGUGCCUAGAUGUUAAUAAAUGACGAAGUGAAGUAAUAAUGUAAUCUGCUAUUUACUGUAGUGUGCUUUCAGCUUUGAGUCUUUCAGCUUUUUAGCUGUGAAUUUAAAAAUACUUCUGGAAGAUACAGAAGCAGUGAAUAAAUGAUCCCAUAUGAAAUCAUUCUAUUUUCAGUAUAAAGAAUUUCAUUAAGCAAAAGAAAACAUCAACCAACCCCCUCAAUAAAUUAAUAAAACCCAAACAGUGACAUCUGAUAGAAAUAAUUUUAUUUUUUUAUUUUUUUAGAGAGAGAGAGAAAACAAGCAGGGGAGGGUGUGGAAGAAAGAGAAUCUUAAGCAGGCUCCAUGAUCAAUAUAGAGCCCGAUGCAGGACUCAAUCCCACAAUCUUAAAAUCAUGACCUGAGCUGAAAUCAAGAGUCCGACACUCAACCAACUGAGCCACCCAAAUGCCCCUUGAUAUAAAUAUUUAAGAUAAUUUUUUAAAAUUAUGAAACCAUGCACACAGCCUUUCCCUCAAUCUCUAGUGCUGUAAUAAAGGCAGUUCAUGACCUCAAGAUGAUUUGACAUAAUGAUUAUGUGAUUUAUCAAUUCUCCAUUUUCUAUUGUAGUGCUUAGACUGUGUUUUACAAUUAUCUGAGUACUUCUAUUUCUUUUUCACUGAACUGUAAGCUCCUAAAGGAUAGGGAGCAUGUCAAAUGUAUUACUACACUAAAUAUAGUAUCUGACACACUGUUAAAUAUUAGCUGAAUAAAUGAAAGAUAAAAACUGGAUAAAACUAAUUUUUUGAAAUGAAGUGACUUUCCAUGUUGUUUACAAGCCCUCUGGAAAUCCUCUUAAGUUCAAUAAGUACAGAAAUGUUCAUCCCACCACUUACAAUAUUAACAUUUUAGAAAUAAAUGCACAAUAUGAGGAAAACAGUAAAAUAAGUAGUGGUAUAUAUAGCCAUAUAAUGGACUUUAAACUUUUUUUUUUUUUUUAAGUGUAUUGGAGGGAGAGAAAGGGGCAGAGAGAGGAGAGAAAGAAUCCCAAGCAGGGUUUGCACUAUCAGUGUGGAACCGGAUACAAGGCUUGAAUUCACAAACUAUGAGAUCAUGACCUGAGCCAAAGUGAAGAGUUGGAUGCUUAACCAACUGAACCACCCAGGUGCCCCUAUAAGGGACUUUAAUACGGCCAUUAAUAAUGCUAGCAAAAUUAUUUAGUAGCAAGAGAAUUGUAAAAGAAGGAAAAUUACAAAUAAAGUAUGUGACCUUAAUUAUGCUUAACAAUGUAUUAAAAAUGCACUAAAAAAGGACUAGAAGAAAUUAACAGUUUCUUGUAAAAGUCGAUUAGGAUGUAUUUUUUCUUCCUACACCUACCAAAACUUCAAAAAUUUCUGCAAGUAGCAAGUCUAAUUUUACAACUAGAAAAAUUUUAAUUAAGAGGAGAAGAGGGGUGCCUGGGUGGCUCUGUAGGUUGAGUCUACAACUCUUGGUUUAGGCUCAGGUCAUGAUCUUGCAGCUUCGUGGGAUGGAGUCACGCAUGGGACUCUGUGCUGGCAGCAUGGAGCCGACUUGGGUUUUGCUUGCACACGCGCUCUCUCUUUCUGCCCCUCCCCCACUUGCACUGUCUCUCUCUCUCUCUCUCUCUCUCUUUCAAAAAUAAAAUACAAAUAUAUAAAUUAAAGAGGAAAAAAAUUCAUUUAAUCCCCUUUUCAAAAACUACCUCUUUCCUAUGAAAUUACAUAAAGAAAUUAGUUCAGUGUCAAUUUGUAAUAACUUAUCUAAUGAAAAAUAUUUAUUUCUAUAACCCUGCUAAUAAGUUUUUUCAUAGAGUACUUAAUAACUGAAAAAUUAAAAUAAGAAUAUAAUGAAAAAUUCACUAUCAAAUGCCCAAAUAAUAUGAUGAUACCAGAGAGUACCCAAGCUAGAGAUUGAGAUACUAUAUAAACUCCAAAAUAAUAACCUCAAAUAUCUUGGUUUAAAUGACAGGCUGUAAAAUCUGUUAAAAACUUUUUUAUGGAAGCACAAACAUUUAUUUUUCAGCAAGUUAUUUUAGCAAGUACGUGUAUGUAGUAUAAAAGGCUACAUGCAAAUGUCUCUGCCUCUAUACAUAUUACUCCCCAGUUUUCCAUAAAUUAUCACCUACCAUUUCUGAGGUUUAAGCACAAAGCCUUCUUGCUUCCAAUGUUUGUUAAUGGGAAGCAGUAGCUAAUCAUGUGGCAAGCAUUUUUCCUGUGUUGACAGUAUUUUUCAUAAUCAACUAAGUAUUUUACAUACCUUCUUCCAUUAACCCUCGGAUCUGCUCAUCUUUCUCUUUCAAAAGUUCUGAAGUUUCACUACUAUUUAAUCUAGUAGCAAGUUCUUCUUUUAUACUUUUGAUUUCCUAAUUAAAAAAAAAAAAAAAGGAAUGUGAAUACCAUAACGAAUUACUUUCAUUCUGGGCAUAUUUUUCAAUUUUUUCCAUAUUCAAAGUCAAUAAUCAAAUUCUCAAUAAAGAUCCUUAAGUUGUAUUGUUAACCUGUGUUUACUACCUCAGUUAAUUAAGUAAACAGCUUUGAAACAACAUAAAAAACCUGAAUUCAGAAAUAAAGAGGUUUUAAUAUGGUAAUACAAGUGAGAAUGAGUUAACUUUCAAUACCUUUCUUUCUUAUCUCUAUACACAUUUUCUUCAGAUCAAGUAUUUUAUUUGGAACAUUUCAAACAAUACAUGUCUCCAUUUUUCAUUUUAUUUCCAUUCCUCAUCUAAAACUUGCUGCACUUGCUAGUGCAUUGUGAAAUGAAUAAAAGCAUGAUUAUAUAAGGUUCAAUCUACUUUAAUAAAGCAGAGAUUCAGCAGAAAUAUGUCAAGACAGUUAUCCUUUAAAACCACAAUGGAGAAGUAUGGUGAUGUGAAAAGUGCUCUAGGAUUUAAAAUUUGGUUUUAAGCAAUGAUCUGAAACAAGAGCUAAAAACAACUAACAUUAGGUAUUUAAACUAUGCUUUGUAUCCAUUAUAAUUUUAUUUUCACAACAAUCCUAUGAAGGAGGUACUUUAUUUAACUACACAAUUAAAGACUGAAUAAACUUUGAAGGUCAGAGACCUACUAAGUGAUGGAGUUUAACUUGAAAACCAGGUUUAUGAGUACCCAAAGCCCAUACACUGAGCCAUCCACAACAUUACUCUGCAUCUUCCAACUGUCAAAACUUGAUUCAUCCAUCAAGGCCCAAUAAGACCAUCCUGCCUUCCAUGAAACUUUCCUCAAUUCCCCUGGUCAGAAUUCAUCCUCUAUGAUACCAUUCCAAACUGCUUAUUCGUCUCGAUCUGUAAUUUACUUCAUUCUGCCUUGUACUAUAUAGGUGUUGACAUUAUCUAUCUUCCAUCACUAGAAAAGCAAACUCUUAAGGUUAAUCCAAUUUGCUUUGAAUUUCCUGUGGAUCCCAACUUCAUAUGAAGUACUAGUACACAUAAAAAAACUUAGAGUCCAAGCUUUUUCCACCUAUAGUUAAUAAUUUGGGUCUAUUUUAGAUCUAUAAUUCAAAUUACAUUACAGAAAAUAAACAUUACAUUACUUAAAAUCUAAUUUCUCAAUUAAACUUGUCCAGAUGGAAUAUAGUAGGGACAAGAAGAGGUAAAUUGGUUAGGUAGUCUGAGGUUAUUGUUAGUGUCUGAAAUGAGCUAGCUAAUUAAAGCAAACAAGCAAAGGAAUUAUAUGACUUAUUUCUCCUCUUUAACAGUGUACCAAAAAAUAAAGAUUAACAUUAACACUGGUCAAGAAGACCAACCUAACUGAGAAGGGCAAAUGCUGAGAGACGUUAUUAAUAAUAGUUUAGAUAGAAUUACUAACCUUAGUUGGUUACCAACUUCUAAAAUACCCAAUUGCUACAAAUUAUAAGAAUUAGAACAAUGGUUCCCAACCAGGAGUGAUCUUGCUCCCAAGGGGACAUUUGGUAAUGUCUGCCAACAUUUUUAAUUAUCACAACUCGAGGAAUGGGGUGGUGGGUGCAGAGUGGGAGAUAGGGAGAUAACGCUGACAGUGGUGUCUUGUAGGUAGGGGCCCAGAUAGUGGUAAACAUCUCACAAUCCAGAGUACAAUCCCAUACAACAUAAAAUUAUGCAGCCCAAAAUGUGAAACGUGCUAAGAAAUCCUAUAUUAGAAUAAAUCAAUGUUUUGUCUCACAAGACUUGCUAACCAUUACAAUAUUUUAUUUUACUUAAAUGUUUGUUUAUUUUGAGAGAGACAGAGAGCAAGCAGGGGAGGAGGAGAGAGAUAGGGAGAAAGAGAAUCUCAAGCAGGCCUCACACCAUCAGUGUGGAGCAGGAUGAGGGGCUUGAACUCACAAUCCUGUGAGAUCAUGACCUGAGCCAAAAUCAGGAGUCAGGCGUUUAACCAACUGCGCCGCUCAAGCGACCCUACAAUUUUUUAUUUUAAAAUCACUCUGACUUGAAAAGGUACAUAUAAUAUGUUUGAAGUGGCUGGAAAGUAACAAAUGAAGGUAAUAAUACUUCAAAAAAAAAUGUAUACAGUGUCAUUUAGAUUUUUUUAAAGUUUAUUUUAUUUAUUUAUUUAGUAUGAGUGGAAGAGGUGGAGGGAGAGAGAGGGGGAGAGAAUCCCAAGCUCAGCAUAGAGCCUCAUGUGGGGCUGGAACUCACAAACCAUGCAAUCAUGACCUGAACAGAAACCAAGAGUCAGAGGCUUAAGCCACCCAGGCGCCCCAAGUGCCAUUUAGAUUUAAUUGUUAUUUAUUUUGACAAAAUUUUCAUUUAUGAAAUUACUCUAAUGAUCCUUGCUAUGUAUCUUACAAGGACUUAUAGAUAAAUUAUACAAAUAUAUGCUUAGUUUUUUUUUAAAGUUUCAAAAAUCUAAGUCUAAAGGUAUUAAAUAAAAGUCUGUAAUUUAAGUGUUAAUAUACUAUAUGGUAUCCUUUUUAUUUUUGAGAAAGAGAGAAAGAGUUGUUUGAGAGAGCACACAAGUCGGGGAGAGGGGCAGAGGGAGAGAAUCUUAAGCAGGCUCCACGCCCAGCACAGGGCCCCACGUGGGGCUCCAUCUGAUGACCCUGAGUUCAUGACCUGAGCUGAAAUCAAGAGUCAGAAGUUCAACCAACUGAGCCACCCAGGCGCCCCUACUGUAUGUAUGGUAAUCCUUUAAUCUUACUUCUCUUUUUUUCCAUACCAAAAUAUUAUGAAUACAUACCUCAAAAUCUAUGUCUGUAUAGAACUUAAGUAAUAUUAUUUUUAAUUUCCAUUACCUUUUUAGCAGCAUCUCUCUCUUUACAGGCUAGCUGAACUUUCUUUUCUGCUUCUGCAAUUCUUUGAGUAAAUUCAUCUUUCAAGGAAGAAAUGCUGCUGCUUUCUUCUUUCACUCUAAACAUUUCACUAAAUUAAAAAUAAUAGAGAGAAGUACUUGUUUACAUGUUCCUAGGGUAACAAGAGGAGUUCAGCUUGCAAAAGGAAAAUAACAUUGUCUUCAACACAUAACUUACUAAAAUUGGUUAGUUUUAUGCCUGUUAACAUUUAAAAGAAAAAUUACAGGCUUAAUUUAUUUUAAAACACCUCAAUGACAACCAAUUAGAAAUCGAAAAUGUCACCCCUAUUUGAUGUAUAAAAAUAACAGUAAAAUUUUUAAAUUUUGAAUCUGUGUUACAUUUUACGAAUCACCUCCUUAAAGGAAACAAAUAUUGUCGGGUUUUUUUUUUUUUGAUAUCAUAGUUUUCUUUAAAUAUAUGUUUUAAUAUCUAAUACUAAAAGGGAAAAGGUUUUUUGUUUUGUUUUGUUUUUGCAAAACACCUCUCUUCAAAUGCCAAAGGUAAUAUGGUACAGAUAAUUUGAGGAAAAAAUCUCUACAUUUAUAACUGAAAUGCUAUUCCAUUUUCAAUUAUUGUAAACAAGUUAAAUUUUAGACAUUUUAGUUUAAAAAAAUUCUUAAAUAAUAACCAUUUGGGCCUCUACAAAACAUACAAUUAUUCACAUUUGUAAAAUACUUACUCUUUCAGAUUAUCAUAGGCUUCUUCUAGAAGUGCUUUUUCUUUACUAAGAGAUAAUAACUGAGCCUCCCUUUUAUCCAGUUUCUCAUUCAGAAAUUCGACUCUCUGAAUAAGAAGAAUACACAAAGUCAAACAUUUAACUGAAAAGACCAUUUUUACAUGCAGGUGAUGAAUUGUAAAGGUAAUCUAAUCAAUAUAGUAACUAAAACAGCAUUACCUCAUAAAAAGACUUAGCAACAAUGAGAACAUAGUGGAUUCAGAAUAAGAACUCAUACAUAGCUGGUAGAAGAGUAUAAAUCAGUACAACCACAUAGUUGGUGGGAGUAUAAAUUAGUAAACCACUUUAAUAUCUAGUUGAAAAUCUACACACCAUUGAAUGCAGAAAAUUAUUUUAGAUAUACUUUAGAGGAGAAAACUCCUGCAUUACUAUACAAGGAUAUUUACAACAGUUUGUUAUAGCAAAAUCUAAAAAAAAGGUGUGCAUGUCCAACAAAAGCGGAAUGGAGACAAAGAAAAUUUUUAAAAAGAUCACAGGGGCUUCAAAGCCUUUAGUAAUAUCCUGUAUCUUCGCUGGGUAGUCGAUACGCAAGUGUCCCUUUUUCCAUAUUAUUCUUUAAUCCAAAUAUGUAGCAUGUAACUAUUUUUAGUAUGAUACAUUGCAUUCAAAAAAUAAAAACAUUUAAAAAAAAAACUCAUAUGCAUGUAACUUUAAAAUCUCCAGGAUGUAUCAGUGUAAAGCUAAACAAAAAGGAAUGAUAACAGUAUCUUACUCCUUAGGCCUUGCUGAAGCAGUGAAAAACUUGUGUAUGAGGGGAGGAAUGAUGCUGUUUGCACUUAAAAAAAAAAAAGUCUUACCUGAUUGAGGUUUAGAUUAAUUUAGAGAUCACUUACCUUCUGAAAGUAGCUCAAAAAUAUCUUAUUGAUACGAAACAGUGCUGAUUUCAGCAAUUCAAAGUGCUAUUAUAGCUAUAGCAUGGCAUUUUUGUGUGUGUGAAUAGUAUUAAACCUAGGUAACAGAAUCUGGAACUUUUUUUUUUUUUUACAUUAAAUAAUUCAAUACAUGGCACUUACAGGACAUUUCUUCAAGACAUCCUAUAUCUCAGAGGAGUCUAUUAAAGAUGCCAAAUCCAACUCAAUUUCUAUAUCUAAAAAUCAUAGGAAAAAUCAAAACCGUGACUUAAUGUUAAAGAAUUUACACCACUUUCCUUUUAUAUGUAUUAGAUAGAAGCAAUUUGUCAUUCCUAAGCAAUGCCUUUGUUCCUUGGACAUUUCCCAUUCUUACGCAUGUUAAGAGAGCUAGCAGGGAAACAUCAAAAUAACAUAAAAGAGAAAACAAACAAGUAAUUAAUAACAACAGAAACACAUCAAUAAUUAAAGACUAAAUUUUUCAUUUAGGAUUUUCUACAAAUAAUGUGAACAUGCAAAACAAAUUCUGAUAUAAAAAACCCAUAUAGUGUUUAUAUUCGUUUCAGCACCUUUACCUGCAAAGGCUUUGAAGACGUAUGUUACCAUAAGCCAAUCCUUUGCAAAAAGACAAAUGAGCACAGCAUACAAGAACUGUAAGGUGAAAGGACUCAAAAGUAAUGACACGAGAUAACCUUUUCAUUCUUAGUUAUGCUGAAAUAUCAACUUAUGUUAUCACAGAUGUCUCAGAGGAAUUUCAAGUAAUUUAAUAUCAAUAAUUCAAUUUUAAAAUCCUUAAUGCCACACCUAAAGGCCAAAAUGCUCGUUUUUUUUAAUCAGCACAAAUCAUUAUGCAACAUGGAAUGUUAAAAAUAAACAAUGAAAAUAUAAAUAAAUAAACAAUGAUUUCAUUUCUGAAAAGCAUAUCCAAAAAUCCCCUUGCAGUUUCUAGAUUUACCUUGCAAACAUCUUCCUUCUCAGAAUGUGCUUCUGGCUUACUUUCAGCAGUUUCGUGCGGCUCGGCCACUUUGUCUGAGACAGUAUGUCCUUCACUUACUGGUGUAGAAGAAACCAAGAUAUCAGGCUGUUCACAAUUAACAGGUGUUGCACUUCGUCCACUUUCUUCCAUUUCCGUUUCUUCAGUGGGUAUAAUUAAUGUUUCAUUUACUUCUUCUUCAGAUUUUCCUUCAACAGAUACAAUUACUUUAGUCUUUGGAGUUGAAGGAUUAACUAUAAUAGGUACUAAAGCAUAUCCCUUGCCUGACAGUUCAUCAUCUGAAUUGAUUUCACUUACACUACGACUAUCUAAUGACUGCACACUAAACGAGUCUAUUCUUUCAAAAGCAUCAGAUGAACAGCAACUCUCAGUGAGUUUCUGGAAAUCAUCUAAACGAUUAUAUUCAGGACAAGCAGAUGCUGAGAGAAGCUGAAAAGAUGUCUGCAUCAAGUGAAGACUUGAUUUUGAAUCUGUAGUCUCUUGUCUUGAACUUGCUGAGCUCUCACUUAUUACACUUUCAUGAUCUAAGACUUCAAUGUCACUGGUGGUAGAAGUACCAGACGAGAAGGUACUAACUGGAGGAGAAGGUGUGUUAGUCUGUCUGUCUUCAUGUUUUUGUUCCUUAGGUUCCAAAGCCACAUCCUUUGUUUCUGCAGUCGACAUAUUAGGUAUGUUUUCCCUAGUUGUUUUCACAUUAAUUACAUUUUCGGAUACCUUCAAACGUACAGUUGAUACCUUCGUAUCAGACUCUUUAUUAACAGUUUCUUCAUGCUUGCCCUCAGUUUUUGGCGACGGAGUAUCUACUGCCAGAGUUUCCCCUGAUACACACGGAGUAGAGUCUUUCACUUUUGACUCAGUUGUUUCCGAGGUUCUUGACUGUCCAGUGGGCAAGGAUUCCUGUAAAGUGCUUUUUACUUCUUCUUCUGGUCGUUGUGAUUUAGCUGGUGGUUUUGAUACCACUGGACUCUUCUGAAUGGUCUGGACGUCCGUUGGAGAGAGAAAGGCACUGAAGAAAUUUUCAGAUUCAUCUACCACAGUUCUCCGAACUGGCUUUGUUAUUGCUUUAGGAGAGGCUACAGGCUGACUCUGAGGUUCACUGUUUGAUUUUAACCCCCAGGUUGAAGUAUCCCAUCCUCCACUGACAGGGAGACUUAUUCCU